UGCCAUGAAUAAGACCAUACCAAUGUGGGACAGAUAAGGGGGUGCAAAGGAGUCCUAUAUACUGAAGGGAGAAGCAGAAAGAGUGGGAAAGAUCCCUGACUCAGGUGGAGAAUGGGGAAGGAGAUUGACAUAGAGAAGAUCUGGCAGGUUACCACACAGGCACUGGAGUCACACAGAUGGCAAGGGAGAAUUUAGGAACUGCAAGGACUGCACACACUGGCCCCAGAGGGUCAGCAUCAGGAAAAUGGUCAGCUACUCCACUUGCUGGCCGCUAACUACUGAACCAGGCCUACUCCCAAAUGUAGACAAGGAUAAGGAGGGAAGGUGAGAGACAGAGCUGCUGCUGCAACUGGACUGAAGUUCACUGAAGGAAGGAGAAAACUCUGGAGGAAAACUAUGCAGUCAAGAAAUGAGAACUGAAGACUGAGCAGUUGCUGUGGGGUCCAUUCCAGAACCCUCGAGGCAAUGGACAAAGAAACAGGGGAAAUUUUAGUGGAUGCUUUUAAAAUAACAUUUCUGGAAGCCAACUGGACAAAGUGAUAAACACACAUCUAUCCAGGUGUCUGCUGAUGGGGAAGAUGCAGGAGGGACUGAUAGUAAUAACUUCCCAUUUCUAUAGCACCUUUCAUCCUGAAAGUGUAAAGUGCUUUAUUACAAACUAGGACCCUCAGGUAUAUGGCUGGAACUUCCACUGCUUUCAAGAGGAAAACAUUCCACCCACCACUGAAAUGCAGCCAUCUCUGGAAUGGGAUGCAGCGGGGUGACUGAUCAGGGGAACACCUGGCUACUUUGUAUUUGGAUUGCAAAGUGUCAGCAGGGAUUUCCCCACAGGGUGAUCACACCACCAUGCCAGCAGACAUGGCUACUGGCUGCACCCAGACCCUGACACGGAGUCACCCGGACAGACCAGCUUAUAAAACUAAGCACAGACUUCGACUUGCCUUGUGGCCGUGGCUGCAAUUGACGGGUUGCAGGCUGAGUUGCCAAGCAAUAAUACCUGCUGAGAGGGAUCCAGGGGUCCCACUGUGCGAAGAGGUAUCAGGAGAUGGAGGGGACAGCAGAGGUCGCUGAGAGAUGGUUCUGCUCCUGGGACACGAUCUGUCUGUUGUCUGGUCAGCUUCUUCUCUUUGAGGAGAUUUAUAUCUCGAGUGGAAAGACCUCAGUGCUUCCUCUAUUGUCCUCAUGAGUGAAGGCAGCACCCAGCCCAGCAGCCUAAUUUACAGCCCCGCCUGCAGGCAGAAAUCACGCCAGCUGGACUCGAGCC